UGCUGUAGGCCAUACCACCUUAAGAAUGCCUGAUCUUGUCUGAUUACGAAGUUAAGCAGAGCUGAGCCUGGUUAGUACUUGGGUGGCAGACUUCUGGGAAUACCGGGAACCACAGUGG
rnacentral:rRNA from 1 species